AGUGCCAAACCCGCACCCGUGGGCACACGUUGCCAUCCCUAAGCAAGAGAAAGAAAGCUUCGCCAUUGCCGGUGAGACAAGCGAGGGAGGGAGAAAGCUUCACCGGCAGUGGCGGAGCCGGGACCUUGGGCCAGGGGGUGCAAACUAUUUAACCUAAAAAAAAAUUACAAACAUUUAUUAAUUUAAAUUCCACAAGCACAAGAUGUACACGUGAGAUAUUACACUCAAUCUAAAUCCUCAUUACAAAAGGAAUACAACCAAACUAACACUGAACCAAAUCAGAACAUACAUAAGAAACACCCAUAAGGCAAGCAGCAUAGUUAUGCAGGAAGUGACAUAAUUAUCUCCUAUAAGACAAGCAAAAUAAAAAGAGACACGUGAUACAGAACUUUUAAGAAAACAAAUUAGCCACUAUCAUUUGUGAUCAUCAAUCUCAUUCUCUUGUACGUCUAACUCCCUAAGAGACCUACAUUCAUUAAUACACAAGUCAUAUGGAAAGUCAAGAAGAUAUUCUUAACAUGUUGCAGGCAAUUCUCAAUCAGUGGAACAUAUUUCUCAACACCAUUUCCCCUAACCCCACAUAUAUCAUAGACAAACAAGAUUAUCUGGAGGUGCAUAUUUUAACAGCUAAAACUGCUCAUUAUAAAGAAUUCACAUCUUGAUAAUAAAUUGAAGAGUUUUCAAUCAAGCUCUCGUUAUACUUUUUAAGAUACUAUUGAAGACUAGUAUGUCCACAAAACAAGACAUGAGGUAAAAUUUAAGUCUGAAAUCAUUCAACCACCUUGCUGAACUAAUUAUACUCAUUCUCUAGAGAACACAAGCCAACAAUUAACUUGCAAAUAUAAAAAAAUUGAAAUUUUGAUAGUACAAGAAGACAGAGACAACGCCAAUCAGAAUGCAUAUGAGGAGAUUAUGGAGAUUGAAACAUUCUAAAAUGCACAAAAAAUUAACCAUUCUUCAAAGAUCAAUGCACAAACAACAACAAUAACAAACAACAAUGCACUAGAUUAUGGAGAUUGUAACAUUUUACAAUGCACUAACAAUCACAUAACCCCCCAAUUUUAAACAUAUAUCAAAAACCCUAACAAUGACAUCACAACACAGCUAUAUUACUGAUAAUCUCAAAUGCAUAACUAAUCAACUAAUUUAUCAUAAUUACAGUCAUACAAAAAAUCCUAAAUCACAACUUAAAACCAUUCCUUUACUUUUUUAUUUUUGCCAAUCUAAAACCAUUGAAACAGAGUAAAUAAAUUUGAAAGGUACAAUUUUUCUUUUAGAAGUUAUUACUAUCAAUUUUCAAUCCAUUGAUAACCCAUUUUUGCAUGUAAAUGCAAUGGUAUAGGUGAAAAUAAUCAAGCUGACAUCAAUUGAGAAGGAUUUGGAUUUAGUCUAACUCCAGAAGAAAAAUUGAAUAAUUUAAACAUCAAAAUGAACCUAAUUUCAUAAGGAACUUGCAGCAGAUUCACAAUCCAAAAAAAAAUCGCAGAAUCAUGAAUUGGUAACUCGAAAACUUACCUUUCAAAUUGAGUUUCAGAAGCGUAGAUGGAGAUGAACGCGACGGAUAUUUGAGCGGUGGAGAAUGACAACGGCGGUUUAGGCGACGGCGACGGAGACGGCAGCUUGAGGUUUUUGGUGUGAUUUAGGUUUUUGGAUUGUAUUGAAAAUUUAAUUUAUUGUAAGGGUAUUUUAGUCAAUAUGGGUGUAAUCAGAUUUUUUUGGGUGUGAUUAAAAAAAAUCAUUAUGUUUUUCUUUUGGACAGAAAAAAAAAAUCAUUAUGUUUUUUGUUUAUUUUAUAAGUUUUGAUUUUC
rnacentral:lncRNA from 1 species